rnacentral:rRNA from 6 species
CGACUCUCGACAACGGAUAUCUCGGCUCUCGCAUCGAUGAAGAACGUAGCAAAAUGCGAUACUUGGUGUGAAUUGCAGAAUCCCGUGAACCAUCGAGUCUUUGAACGCAAGUUGCGCCCGAAGCCAUUAGGCCGAGGGCACGUCUGCCUGGGCGUCACGCAUCGCGUCGCCCCC